AGAUCACAUUUGAACAGAGGACUUCCUGUCUCCAUCCACUGAGCCACCCAGCUGCCCCUUUAUUUGAUUUCUGAAGGGAUGAUGGUGGCCAGCAAUUGUUUCUGAUACCACAAGACGACAGACGAAGGCCCCAUUUUUCAGUAUUUUAAGCCAUUCCUAGUUUCUUAUGCUAGAUUAAAAAGCACAUUUCAUCGUUCCAUAACGUGCCUCCUAAGUCAGUAAUUCGGUAGCGUAGUGCGAGGAAGAAUAGCUCGAGCCAGCCACAGCGGUGACAUCAUGUCAUCCAGUGAGAUGUCCAGGCGACCCCGGAAGGAGAACCUCUUUCUUGAACAGACGACUGCGGAAGAAGAUCGACCUUGACUGGUCCAGCCCAUUUUCCAGCUCGCUGUGACUAGGGGACCCGUUGAAGGGAAGGGUAAUUCCUGAGGUGGUUGUCCAGAGAUGUGUCUCCUGCUUGGGAUGACUGUCAGGAGGCUUUGAGGGCGCUCUUUACCGCCACCCUGGAAGACAGAUGAGGGCGCUCUUUACCGCCACCCUGGAAGACAGACAAGGCCCUCUGCUUUAAACGAGCCUAAAAGAGGGAAUCUUGGCCUUGAGGGAGCCGCUAAGCACAUUCAGCCUUCCUGGAGAGAAAUGGGCCUGCGUCUCCUCUGUCGCCUCACCCCUUUGCACCUUAUUAACAAGCACUUCAAACGCUGGCAAGGGAAUCCCGACACUUUAACAAGGAUGAGGAAGCUUCCUAAGAACGUUCUUCCUCUCGACAUCUCCACUCGUGUGGAUGCCUCCAGUGGACGUGGAACAUGGACUGGUGACAGUUACUGAAGCAAUGCAGAAAGUCGACAAUUCCCGUUUCCCAGGCUCCACACUGGAAACUCCGUUGCUAUUGUCUUGAGCACCUCUGACAGCGCAUAAAAUGCGGAGCUUUGGGAGAAAAAGGCCUCUGUUCGUCCUCGCCGGAAUUUAGCACUACGUGAACCGGCAGCCAUCUUGUUGACCAGCUGCAUCUCUACCUCAGGCCCCUACAAGGUCAGCUUAAAGAGACCGAACCAUCUGGGUAGUUCCUGGGUUUGCUCCCAGGCACUUUCCUCUUCUUACAUUCAUUUUAAACGGGUGACUUCUUAAAGGUUUUGUCCACGACGGGUAGAAAUGCUGCUGGGUUUAUUUCCUGGCCGGCUGCCUUGCUCGGUAUGGGUGCUUUCCACCCAUUUUGUGAGGGGAUCUCCAGACUUUUCCACAUAGACCAUCCCAUUAUCUGUGAUAACGCCCUUGCCAGAUAUUAUUCCAUUGUUCCACAUCACGUACUGCUCUCCGAUCCAGCUUGUUGUCAACUCUUGCCUAGUUUAAGUCCUUUAGGGAUUUGAAAUCAUAAUAUUUAGGGGAUCACUUGGUCAUAUCUCACUGUUUGGGCUGAAAAGUUGUCAUGGAAUGUGAGCUAUAAUUUUUUUUAACUUUCAUUAUUGGUUUUUUCUUUUGAUUUGUAAGAGGAUAUUUGAUUUUAUUGACUCUAAUACCUAUGCAUACCCCAAAGCUUUAGACUAUAGAAACCUGCCAUUGAUUGUUAGGUAUUAGGGGACCUUGACUAAUAAUUGUGUCAGAUUUCAGAAGAAGGGAUCACAAAAGAGCCACUGUACAGUGCCAAGAAGCACAAGGUCAAAGAGACCAUCAAUCCCUGUGGGAAUGAUGAGAAUUUGUGCCAAGACGGAGGACUUGUUUUGAGGUUAAAAGAAGUGGCUAUUUGACAACUUCAGACACUUGACUCCACCAUGCCAUAUUUUCUACAAGUACCUUAGUUGGGCUGCCAUUUUGUCUCCCCUAUCCCUGAGAGUAAAGGAAAAACCAGACUAGGGAUUCACAUAUUUUCCCUUUUACUUCAAAGUCUAGGCCCUCUUCUCUUCUAUAAUAUGACAGUUUUCUGUAGUCUUGGCUGCUGAUAGGUAAAGUGUAAUAUUACUACAAUUGUCCUAUAGGCUUGUGGGACAUAAAUCACUUUAAUUGGACCCUGAUUUAAGGAGCUAUUAUGGACUUAUUCUUGCUUACUCAAAAUUUUAUGUAUAUAGGUUAUUUUUCCCAAAAUUUAAUUUUUUUCUAUCUAUUUGGGGUUUUUUUAUGUUUUGAAUUCUUUUGAGAAUUGAUUCUCAGGGGAAGGUUAUAUAAUUUUCAUAAAAUACAAGAUUUAAAAUUUUUUCUGAGAGAAAUUUCAGGAAAAGAAGCUCACUAACUUCCCAAAUCAAGAAAGUGAAACCUUUUAAAGACGGCACCAUAAAGAAGCCAGUGGAAACCAUAUACUACAUCAGAAGAUCCAGAAUGAACUUUGAGAUGUAGUGAAUUGAACUGAAGGGGGUUGAACACAUUUAUUUUGAAUGUGAACUCUUAUGCCACAGGGGAUUGUCCCCAAUUGUCUUUUGUCAAUGCACCUACCAAUCAUUGGUUUUGCUCCCUUCCUCUUUUAUUUCCCUCUUACCUCCAACUAUCUCCAACUUCCUCUUAGAAAAUGCAAUAUUGUAUGCACCUCUAGUAAGAGAAUACUUAGAGAUAUAAGCUAGUUAUUUUAAAUGAUUCAUUAGGGAGAUUAAGCAUGUAAAUCUGGGAGAUUUCAACAAGCUUGUCUCCCAAUAGAAUCACAGGGGGGGAUUGUGAAAGAAAGAAUUUCAGCAGCGCUCACACUCCCUUGGCUAAAGGCCACCAAGAAAUGAAGAGCCCCAGAAUUUGCCAAGCAAUGAAUGGGAGCAAAUCUCUCUCAGUCUCCUGCUUAUAUACAGUUUUCUCAACCCAUCAGCUCUCCUCAUCACAUCUCAGGAAUAAAUCAUAGCCUUUCAAUUUGCCUAGCACUGCCCAAGGUGGAGGGGUUAGGGGGUGGAGGAGGGAGGCGGGCAGUGAUUGUGGCCUGUUAGGGAGUGAACUUUCUUUGUUAGUGACUUACUAAGUGUUAAGUAGGGAUACUUUAAAUUCUUGAUUGAUUAACUUAAAAUAGACAAAGGGAAUAAAAAUUCCAUUUCACUCUAUUCAGUCUCAGUUAUUAUGCUUCCAUAGAUUCUUAAGAUAGUACUUUAAAAAGAUGUAUCCCUCAAACAAUAACGCCCCUUAGGGUGUCUGUGGUCAAGUUCCCUUGACAUGAGUUUGAGGGUACAUUCAAUCACAAAUUUGGUAGAGUUACAUUGACUUUCUAAAGCUAUAUUAAAAAGGCUGAUAGCGAGAUCUAUGCUUCAUUGAACAAGAAUGUAAUUUUUAAGAGAAUUAAGCCCAAGGGCAUUGGUCAAAGAAUUUCUAGAGAAAAAAGAUCAUCUUAAUUGCUGCUAUGGAUAAAUAAAAUAAAGAAGGCUAUUCUUUAUAAGUGUGGGGGAAAUGAAGGGCUUUUCCCUAGCAAGUUCUAUCUCUCUCUCCCUUUCCUAGUGUGGUGGCUAAUGGAAGAGCUUGCUUCUUCAAAGAAAAAAUUAAGUUGAAACUGAAGCGGACCUUAUGUGCCGCCCAGUGGAGUCAAACAUAACAACCACCAGCUUUGCCAUAUAACCAAGAGAGCAACUCUGAACAUCGGUCUAUAUCCUCAGAGCACAAACAGCUGGCUGGGCAACAUAAAUGUCAGAGAUGUCAUGCAGGGUUACCCAAAAUAUGCAGGUCCAAGUGGAGUGAAGGAAAUGACAAACUACUCCAGUAUCUUUGCCAAGAAAACUCCAUGAACAGUACCAAAAUGAUCAAAAUACGGCAUCAGAAGCUAAGCCGCCCAGUUUGGAAGUGUCCAGUGGGUUACUGUGUAAGACAGUUACAUGUAAUUCCCCAAAGAAUGAAGUUGCUAGACCAAAACCGAAAGGAAACUCAUCUGGGGAUGUGUCUGGUAAAGAAAGGAAAUGUGGUGGCAUUAAUGUCAAUAUUGCAUAAAAGCCUGGAAUCAUCAUCUAUGAUGAAAGUAAGCUGGAUCUGAUCAAACAGGAGAUGGAAAGAUUAAACAUUAUCAUCUGGGAAGUCAGUGAACUUAAAUGGAUGAGAAUGGGUGAAUUUAAUUCAGGUGAUCAUUAUCUACACUACUGUGGGCCAGAAUCCCUUAGAAGAAAUGGAAUAGGACAGCUAGGUGACUCAGUGGAUAGAGAUUAAAGGAGGUCUUCUGUCCAAAUCUGGCCUCAGGCACUUUCUAUCUGUGUGACCUUGAGCAAGUCAUUUAACUCCAAUUGCCUAAUCCUUACUGCUCUUUGUACCUUGGAACCAAUACUUAGUAUUGAUUCUAAAAUAGAAAGUAAAAGGUUUGGUUGGGGUUUUUUUUGGUUUUGUUUUGUUUUUUUUUUUUGUAAAAAAGAAGAAAUAGAGUAGCCCACCUUGUCAAUAAUAAUAGGGUGAGAAAACCAGAACUGGGAUGUAAUCUCAAAAAUGAAAUGCUAUCUGUCACAGUAAUAGAAGUCUAAGUUUCAACCUUUGAUGGGAAAGAGUCCAAAGUUGGUCUGUUCUAUGAAGACCUAUAAUAUCUUCCAGAAAUAACAUCAAAAAAGAUGUCACACUCAUCAUAGUGGAUUAAAAUGCUAAAGUAGGAAAUCAAACAAUAACUAAAAUAACAGGCAAGUUUGGUCUUGGAGUACAAAAGGUUAGAGUUUUGUCAAGGAUCACUGGUCCUAGCAAAUGCUUUUUUUUUUUCAACAAUCCAAAAAGCAACUUUAUACAUGGAUAUCACCAAAUGGUCAUCGUAGAAAUCAGACUGAUUAUAGCUUUUGCAGCCAAAGGUAGAGAAACUCUAUAUAGUCAGUUCAAACCAGAGACCUAGAGCUAACCCUGGCUCAAAUGAUAAGUUUGUUAUUGCAAAAUUCAUAUUUAAAUUGAAGAAAGUAGGAGAAAAUCAUGAGAACAUGUAGUAUCCCUUACGAAUAUGAAGUGAAAGUAAUGAAUUGGUUUAAGGGAUUACAUCUACUAGUAUCUGAAGAACUAUGGGCAAAGGUUCACAAUACUGUCUGUGAGUCAGCAAUAAUGAAAAUUAAAAAAAAAAUAAAAGAGUAAGAAAGCAGUGACUACCCCAUAAGGCUUUACAAAUAGCUGAGGAAAGAAGGAAAAGGAAAGAAGAAAGAGAAAGGGAAAGAAAUCCCACUGAAUGCAGAAUUCCAAACAAUAGCAAGGAGAUAGAAAAGGUUUUCUUAAAAUAAGGCAAAGAAAUAGAAAAAAAACACAAUAGAAUGGGAAGGAAAAAAAUCUCUUCAAGAAAAUUAGAGCUAUCAAAGGAACUGAGGAAAAUUAUUGUUAGAUUGUAUCACUAACAAUAUUUUCACAUGAAUCUAUUUGCUUUCUCAGACUCCAACCUCUAAAGGUCAGGCAAUUCUCUUCAAGGCCAAAAUUGAGUAAGGACUCCCAGGAUCCCAAGGCACUUACAUGGUCAGUGACCCUUUCCUUUCAUUUACCUUGUAAAACAAAAAAACAGGAGGGCAGGAACUCCUAUUCUUGGUUUAUGUUAUAAAUAAAAAUGCAUUUCUUAGGUGCCAAAAAGGGGUAGUAAUAGGAGAGGAUCUGAGAUGUCUAAUCCCACCUCCUCAUUAAAAUAUCCACCAAUCAGACUGCAAGAGGAAGUCAUAAUGAUAUACUGUCAGGUUCAUCUGAAGAGUUUAUGACAGUGAUAGCAAACCUAUGGAAAGUGUGCCAAAAGGGGCACAAAGAGCCCUCUCUGUUGUCAUGCCCACAAUCACCCACCAGAGUUCAUUACUAGAAAGGCAGAGGGACUCACCCUUUCCAUGUGCCUAAGGACAUUCCUCACUUCACCACCCUUCUGCCCAGCAGCUCAUUGGGAGCCCUUCCUCCCUCCCCUGUCUGGGGGAGUUGGCUCACAUGCUGCAUAAGGGUGCCGGGCAGAUGGCGACCUGUUGAGUCUAUGGUGAAGGUGAUUCCCAUGGUAGGGCUGGAGAGGAGCUAGGUUUAAGAGAGGCAGAGCUCACAGUGGGGCACAUGACUGGAGGAGAGCAGAGAGCUGGGGCCACUAGCUCCCCCUCUCCACAUUCACCUCUCAUCACCUGCCCCCUGCCCAGCAGCCCAAUGGGAACAUUUCUUCCUUCCCCUAUCUGGGGUAAGGGUGGGGGGAGACAAGAUGGGGUGGAGGGGGCAGAGGAGGAGGAGCACAGCCUUUGGGGGACAGGGCAGGCCCAGCAUUCCAUCUCUAAAUGAUUCACCAUCACUGCUAUAUGACUUUGCACUCUCUCAAUCAACUUCUUUGCACUACAUAUUCAGUAAACCAGCAAAUUUGGAAAAUUCAACAGUGAUCCCCGGACUGAAAAGAUGGGUUUAUGGCCCAGUCCUAAAGCAGGACAAUGGCAAAGAAUGCUCAAAUCACCAAAUUGUGCCCAUUUCACAGGCCAGAAAGGCUAUGCAAGAUAGGCUUCAACACUGUAUGAAUUGAGGGUUACCAGAAGGGCAGGCUGGCUUUCACAGAGGCAGAGGAAGGAAAGACAAAAAGGACAACAUUCCCUGGAUUAUGAAGGAAGCGAAGGAGUUCUGGAAGAGCCUCUGACUGUGGAUCACAACAGGAACGGGUCCUCAGGGAGAUGGGGGCAGCAGGCGGUCUUCUCUCCUCCUAAGGCACCUGUGUGCAGGUCAAGAAGCAACACUUAGAACUGAUCGGGGGACAGGGAGCAGCGAAUUCAUUUGAGAGGAAAAGAAAGUCUAUUUACUAUGCAAUGAGAAAAGCCAGGUGCAGUUAGGAGAGGACAUCUUGGCUCUAGUUUGUCCAUCUGUGAAAUGAAUGAGCUACCAUUUGAGCCCUAAUGCGUCUUCCGACUCUAUAACAGAGAAUGUUCUCUCUUGAAAGAAUUCCGAAACAUGAAGCAAUUUCCCUUCCCCAGCCCAGGAAACCUGUGACUAUAAAGACAAGUCGAACAUCCAUCAAAUCUGAACAAGGAAGCCAACGGAAGACAAUAUCAAAAAGACAGGUUGAACAUCCAACCAAAUCUAAAUAAGGAAGCCAAUGGAAGACAAUAUCAAAACCUGCUCUUUCCAGCACAAAUCAGGCAGUGGCCCUGCCAUGGCCAUCUUCCAGUGAAUCUGAGUCACGAUAAAAAUCAUACAUCAAAACAGUAUCAUCCCUUUCCCGUUUUUGAGAAGAAAACGCAAACUUUGCUGACUGUGACAGAUACUCUACCAGAAUGAAAUUCUAAUCAGGAUCGAUCUCUGAAUCUAAUAGGAAAUAGAAUGAAAAGACAACAAAAUCCCAAUGCCAACAGAGAACCACAUCAAGCAAUGUACUUAGUUAUACAAAUGGGGAGCUGCAUGCAGAGACUUGAUGGGAUGUGAAAGCUAAAAGAGACAGGAUACAGUUUCAAAAAGAAUUGAACCGGGAGGAAAGAAGCUUACAUGCCGGCCUUCCCUCUACCCUUGUGACCUUAGAAAUAGCCCCUUUACCCUUUGAAACUUCCGUUUCCUAUCAGUAAAAUGUGGAUAUUGAACUAAAUGCCCUUUAAGUCUCCUCCCUGUUCUACCAUUCUGUAAGUCUGCGAGGUCAGGCAUCAGAAUGAGGUUACCGCUCUCAUCUGUUCGACCAGCAAAGUUCCAAAGACAGCACUGAAACCCUGGCUAGUUCAAGGUCUGGGCAAUGGCUAACCUCCCACCAUUUCCAAAUAAUCAGUAAUUGUGAUGUCAGAAAGCAGACGAAUGAUGCUAACCUAAAAAGUUAAAUUGGAGAGAAAUUUGAGCUGAAAGAGGUUUUUCUUAAACAAGUAAAAAUAGGGUAGACUUCUGGUAAGAUGGCUAAUUAAAGCCAGAUCUCCUUUGUCCCCUAUAAGCAACAUAAAAUGAGCCAAAUAAAGUAAAAGGGAAAAAAACAGUAAAAGAGGAAAAAGAAGAGAAAGAAUCUUCACAAGCAAAAUUAGUAGACUGAAUAAAUGAAUAAUAAAAAACAAGCAAUGAAUAUAAUCAAUAAAUACCAUGAGGCAAAAGAAAACAAGGAAAAACCAUCAGAAGAAAGUCAUAGUGCUACAGCAAUACCAGGCAGAACUUCAGCAGACCGAAUGGAACACCUCCAAACACCAUCCGAGUGGUUUAGAAACUCCGUAAAAGACUUAAAGGAAGAUCUGGCAACUAUAAAGAUGGAAAUAAAAUCUCUUAAAGAAGAAUACAAUAAGACAAACAUGAGAAUCGAUAGCUUAGAAUUGAAGGUGGAAAAUUUUCAUAAUGCAGUGAGUUCUCUGAAAAAGAAAAUUUCAGAGACAGAUUCCAAAAAUGGAAGAAUGGCCUAAUGGUACACUUUCCAGCUAGAACGAUUGAUACUUGUUUGGGCUUAAUAUCACGAUACAGGAACGUUCAAGAGUGUUCCCUUUCUUGGUUUACUCCCAAGAGACUAAGAUAAAUGUAUGUAAAAACAUUGCUUUUAAGAGACAAUAAAUAUAUGCUUGCUUUCUACCUUAA